UACGUAGGGUGCAAGCGUUAAUCGGAAUUACUGGGCGUAAAGCGUGCGCAGGCGGUUAUGUAAGACAGGUGUGAAAGCCCCGGGCUCAAUCUGGGAAUUGCAUUUGAGACUGUGUAGCUAGGGUGCGGAAGAGGGAAGCGGAAUUUCCGGUGUAGCGGUGAAAUGCGUAGAUAUCGGAAGGAACACCAGUGGCGAAAGCGGCUUCCUGGUCCAGCACCGACGUUCAGGCACGAAAGCGUGGGGAGCAAACAGG
rnacentral:rRNA from 1 species